rnacentral:rRNA from 1 species
UACGGAGGUGGCAGGCGUUACUCGGAUUGAUUGGGUGUAAAGGGUAUGUAGGCGGUGAGUUAAGUCGAAUGUGAAAGCCCUUGGCUUAACCAAGGAAUUGCAUUCGAAACUGACUUGCUUGAGUGACGGAGAGGAAAGCGGAAUUCCCGGUGUAACAGUGAAAUGUGUAGAUAUCGGGAGGAACACCAGUGGCGAAGGCGGCUUUCUGGACGUCUACUGACGCUGAAAUACGAGAGCUAGGGGAGCAAAC